rnacentral:rRNA from 1 species
AACGAACGCUGGCGGCAGGCCUAACACAUGCAAGUCGAGCGCUCACUUCGGUGGGAGCGGCGGACGGGUUAGUAACGCGUGGGAACGUGCCUCUCUCUACGGAAUAGCCAUUGGAAACGAUGAUUAAUGCCGUAUACGCCCUUCGGGGAAAGAUUUAUCGGAGAGAGAUCGGCCCGCGUUAGAUUAGGUAGUUGGUGGGGUAAUGGCCUACCAAGCCUACGAUCUAUAGCUGGUUUGAGAGGAUGAUCAGCAACACUGGGACUGAGACACGGCCCAGACUCCUACGGGAGGCAGCAGUGGGGAAUCUUAGACAAUGGGGGCAACCCUGAUCUAGCCAUGCCGCGUGAGUGAAGAAGGCCUUAGGGUCGUAAAGCUCUUUCGCCUGUGAAGAUAAUGACGGUAGCAGGUAAAGAACCCCCGGGUAACUCCGUGCCAGCAGCCGCGGUAAU